UACAGAGGUCUCAAGCGUUGUUCGGAUUUAUUGGGCGUAAAGGGCGCGUAGGCGGCCAUGCGUGUCUUCCGUGAAAUCCCUCGGCUUAACUGAGGACGUGCGGAAGAAACUGCAAGGCUCGAGUCCGGGAGAGGGGGGUGGAAUUCCCAGUGUAGCGGUGAAAUGCGUAGAUAUUGGGAGGAACACCGGUGGCGAAGGCGGCCCCCUGGACCGGUACUGACGCUGAGGCGCGAAAGCGUGGGUAGCAAACGGG
rnacentral:rRNA from 1 species